CUGGAGGGCACAAGAGAGGAAGGCAGUGGGGCCUGCAGUCAGAGCCCCUGGCAGAGCCAGGCUAGAUCCGGGAUGGACUCCUUCUCUCUCCCACCCACUCCUCUCACCUAAGGCAAUGCUUUCCGCAUCUGGUCCAGUCUGUGGACACUUGCCAAAGGAUCACUAAAAAUGGCCGAGUUCCCUGCCUCCCUCUUGUGUGAGUGACAGCCUCUGGAGCUGGAUCCUGGAACUUUUAACAAGUGCCCUGUGGAUUCGGAAGUUAAUGAACCUUCUAAAGCCCAGAGGCAAGGUCACCCAUUUCUUCUCUCUCAGCACUCGAUUGCCCCACUUUCCUGCCAGGCCCAGGACAAGGCUCCCAGCCCUUCUGAGAGGCUUGUUUUUCUAUGAGACCCCCGGCCAAGCUGCGGGCAGGGAGCGAGACAGGCCGGCGGGAGCAGUGCCAGCUCCUCAGUCUGCUCCCUGACGACUUUAUGCCCACACAAGUCUCCAGAUUCUGAGAUCUAAUCACCACUGGCCCAGCAGUUGGGAUAGAGGCCCCUCCACCUGCGUCCUCUGGAGCAAGCACAUGAUGCACACUGAUCCCUGAGCGGGCUCCUCCUCUGCCCGGCACUGUGCACUCAGAUGCCUCCAACGGUGGAGCCCAGUUCAGAAGCUGCUCUACUCCUGUCUCAGCACCUGUCACACGGCGGCAGAGCUCCUCCCACAGCUGACAGACUUGUGCCAUUAGAGCCUGCUGGGAGAGCAAAGCAUUUGGGGAUUAGAGGAAAAGAAGGUCAAGCUCUGAAUAAAGCCUGGGAGGUUUGCAGACUUGGCUGACUCCCCAGAAAACCCAGGCCAGGGGAGGUCUGCAGCAGACAGACCAGCUGGCCAUCGCCCCUGUCCUGCAUGGGACGCCCGACGGACAGAGGCCCUUUGGCUCACAGGUCCCACCUUUUCCUGGAAUAUUCCUGUCUCAUGUGUUUGGGGCAGAGACCGUAGGGCGGGCCUCCUGUUGCCUGGGUGGGAGGCUUUGGUUGCUGCCUUGGGUUUCUGUUUGUUUGUUUUGCAGUGCUGAGGAUCAAGCCCAGGGCCAGCCCAGCAAGCACUGAACCACUGAGCCAUGUCCCACUUCUGGAGGGAGUCUCAUAGCCUUCUCCUGUGUUUCCUUUGCACACUGGGUAGAAUCUUCCAUGGAAGUGCCUUGUGUGUGUCCCCUUCUCUUACUGUGCCCUUGGGUGUGGCCUACCCAGAUGUCAGUCAACUUGCUGACAGUGGACAUCAUGAAGAUAGACUCAGCGCCCUGAAACCUGACCCCUUGCCUCAUUUGAAUAGCUUCUCCUCAAUAAAAGGGGUCAGCACGUGUGCUCUCGCUCUCUCUUCCUGCAGACCCUUAAGGUCAGAGGAGCCGUCACAGCGACCCAAACAAAAAGGUAUUUGUGUCUCUUGUGUGGUUAUUUUGUGCAGCCCAGUUAGCCCAGUUUUCCUGGAGUGAUCCUUGAGCCUUUUAGUCUCGAGAACAGAAACCCGGCAAUAGCCCCUCUGAGUUUUGCUGUAUGUACAAAUGGUGUGUAUGUAACGUGCAUAUGUAGACAUACCACACAA